CAUCUAGAGGCGCAAGUACGUACAACAGGGAAAAAUGGGCUGGAAGUAUCCUUUAAUCGUCUUUGCCAAUAGCCUCUGGUUGUCUUAACGGAAUGCCCAUGAGCAAGGUAAAUCAACGCCACAAAGUUGUUCAUGCGGCUGAGGCUGUAGUCGACUGGCUUUAAAGGAAUAGGAGAGGCGCCCAGGUGAUGUAGGGAUUUCAGAUCUCCGCAAGGCACACAAAGAAAUAUAAAGUUAG
rnacentral:sRNA from 1 species